CAGCCGCCGCGGGAAUACGUAGGGUGCAAGCGUUAAUCGGAAUUACUGGGCGUAAAGCGUGCGCAGGCGGUUUGUUAAGACAGAUGUGAAAUCCCCGGGCUCAACCUGGGAACUGCAUUUGUGACUGGCAAGCUAGAGUGUGGCAGAGGGGGGUGGAAUUCCCGGUGUAGCGGUGAAAUGCGUAGAGAUCGGAAGGAACAUCUGUGGCGAAGGCGACUAUCUGGGCCAACACUGACACUGAGGCACGAAAGCGUGGGGAGCAAACAGGAUUAGAUACCCCCGUAGUCCCUGUCUCUUAUAC
rnacentral:rRNA from 1 species